rnacentral:tRNA from 1 species
UGUAGCUCAGUAUUAGAGUACUUGCCUAGCAUGUAAGAGGCCCUGGGUUCAAUCCCCAGCA